CUCCGCUGGGUCUGUGUGCUUGAUGAGGUUCCCGCCAUGCUGCUUGAACUGCUCCAAUAAACCUUGCUUUUUCAUUUCGGUCACUUGCUCUACCAUCCAGAAGGACUCCGGAACACAACUUUGUUGAUGUUACACAUUGCACAUGUAGCUAACACCUAUGAACAGCUCGCCAUACGAUAGUCACUAUGCCAUGUGCUCUAUGACAUCUUCCCAACUUCAUCUCUAAACGAUGUUCUGAGAUGGGUUGCAGUCCAUUACUGAAGUGAGCCAGGACAGGAACUCAUGUAGAACGGAAGCGAAGAUCAUGGAGGAAUGCUGCCUACCUAGGGCUUGAUUUCUGGUUUUCUGCUCAACCAGCCAUAUAUAUAGACAUAGACGAUAUAGCUAGAGUUCAGGACCACCUUCCCAGAAGGAGCAUCACCCACAGUGGGCUGGGCCCUCCCACAUCAUCCAUUUAUCCUGCCACAAGCCAAUCUGAUCUGGACAAUCUCCCAAUUGAGACUCCUUCAAAUGACUCUGGGUUGUGUCAAGUUGAUAGCUGUAUUUAACUACGACAAGCUCUGAUGAUAGACUACAUCUGCACAUACCCAUAGUCAUGCAUAGACACAUAAUUUUAAAUAAUAAUAAUUUUAAAAUCCUUUUUUUAAAAAAAGAUUACUUUCAGGCCUCUUUAUAUGCCUUAAUGGACUGCUUAAUGCUUUAUGCCCCCCAAAUCCUUUGGAUAUUAUGGCCUCCUGUUGUAAGCCAUACUCAACUCGUUCAUUCAUUCAACAUGUAGUUUUGGGAGCUUAUACCAUGGAAGCAGUAAGUCUUGGGGGUGAUAGAUAAUUAAUGGUGAGCAAAGCAGAAGAAACUUAGAGUUGAGGCAGGAAAGGAAACAAGCAAGAGUAACACGGUAUUAAAAUACUGCGACAGCAGUCCUGGAUUCCAGUAGCUCACCCACGCUCGAGCUAGAGAUGGCAUCCACAUGCACGCAUAAAGGAGAAGUCAGACUUCACCAGAUGACAAGAAGAUGUUGACAGCAAGAGGUGGAGAGACAAGGUCUUAGGCAGAAACUUGGAAGAUAAAAGUACAAAGGAAAACAGAGAAGAGUGGGGUCGGGCCACAGUGUGAGAGAAUAGGUGUGAUGAGAGAUGAGGGGAAGAGAAAGAUUGAGUCAGAGGAGCCAAGGUGCCCAGAGGUGGAGUCACUAAAGAACUGAGGAGUGUCUGUGGGGUUUUGUGACAUGAGAGUAGGAGUAAUCUCAGGGAAGUCAUGAAGAAUGACAAUAGAUGUGAUGGGUUGAUGGCUACAUAAUAGAUGAUGGGUAAGUGGGUGGGAGGAGAGAGAAUAAAGGUAUAGGAUGAAAUAUGAGUGAAGGAAGGAUUAUAAGGGCGAUUAUGUGGGUGUAGAACUACACAUCUGUACGUGUAUAGAUCCUGAAUGCUAUCAAGGUAUGUGUGUGUAUGUAUGUGUAUGUAUAUGAAUUAUUAUUUCCUUUUCAACAUUGGUCCCAGCAUACCCAGUCCCUAAUCUCCCUUAUAGACAUAAAUAAUUACUUAUGGUUUCUAUAUUUAUUAUCCUUCUAAAGUUUCUUAUAGCAUGCAUAAGAAUGUACGUAUAUUUCUCCCUAUU